rnacentral:rRNA from 1 species
UACGUAGGGUGCAAGCGUUGUCCGGAAUUAUUGGGCGUAAAGAGCUCGUAGGCGGUUUGUCGCGUCGGCUGUGAAAUCCCGAGGCUCAACCUCGGGCCUGCAGUCGAUACGGGCAAACUAGAGUGUGGUAGGGGAGACUGGAAUUCCUGGUGUAGCGGUGAAAUGCGCAGAUAUCAGGAGGAACACCGGCGGCGAAGGCGGGUCUCUGGGCCAUAACUGACACUGAGGCACGAAAGCGUGGGGAGCAAACAGG